rnacentral:rRNA from 1 species
UUGAACGCUGGCGGCAGGCCUAACACCUGCAAGUCGAACGGUAACAGGAAACAGCUUGCUGUUUCGCUGACGAGUGGCGGACGGGUGAGUAAUGUCUGGGAAACUGCCUGAUGGAGGGGGAUAACUACUGGAAACGGUAGCUAAUACCGCAUAACGUCGCAAGACCAAAGAGGGGGACCUUCGGGCCUCUUGCCAUCGGAUGUGCCCAGAUGGGAUUAGCUAGUAGGUGGGGUAACGGCUCACCUAGGCGACGAUCCCUAGCUGGUCUGAGAGGAUGACCAGCCACACUGGAACUGAGACACGGUCCAGACUCCUACGGGAGGCAGCAGUGGGGAAUAUUGCACAAUGGGCGCAAGCCUGAUGCAGCCAUGCCGCGUGUAUGAAGAAGGCCUUCGGGUUGUAAAGUACUUUCAGCGGGGAGGAAGGGAGUAAAGUUAAUACCUUUGCUCAUUGACGUUACCCGCAGAAGAAGCACCGGCUAACUCCGUG